rnacentral:rRNA from 1 species
GACGAACGCUGGCGGCGUGCUUAACACAUGCAAGUCGAACGAAGUGGCGAACGGGUGAGUAACGCGUAAUCAACCUGCCCUUAAGAGGGGGACAACAGUUGGAAACGACAGUUAAUACCGCAAACUGAAGGAGGGGAUUGCGUCUGAUUAGCUAGUUGGAGGGGUAACGGCCCACCAAGGCGAUGAUCAGUAGCCGGUCUGAGAUGAGGAACGGCCACAUUGGACCUGAGACACGGCCCAGACUCCUACGGGAGGCAGCAGCGGGGAAUCUGCCGAAAUGGACGAAAGUCUGACGGAGCAACGCCGCGUGAGUUAUGACGGCCUUCGGGUUGUAAAGCUCUGUUAAUCGGGACGCGGUACCGGAAUAGAAAGCCACGGCUAACUACGUGCCAGCAGCCGCGGUAAUAC